UGGGGAAUUUUGGACAAUGGGCGAAAGCCUGAUCCAGCAAUGCCGCGUGUGUGAAGAAGGCCUUCGGGUUGUAAAGCACUUUUGUCCGGAAAGAAAUCCUUGGCUCUAAUACAGUCGGGGGAUGACGGUACCGGAAGAAUAAGCACCGGCUAACUACGUGCCAGCAGCCGCGGUAAUACGUAGGGUGCAAGCGUUAAUCGGAAUUACUGGGCGUAAAGCGUGCGCAGGCGGUCCGCUAAGACAGAUGUGAAAUCCCCGGGCUUAACCUGGGAACUGCAUUUGUGACUGGCGGGCUAGAGUAUGGCAGAGGGGGUAGGAAUUCCACGUGUAGCAGUGAAAUGCGUAGAGAUGUGGAGGAAUACCGAUGGCGAAGGCAGCCCCCUGGGCCAAUACUGACGC
rnacentral:rRNA from 1 species